CAGAUUAGGAGAGCAACAGAUUAUUCAUUUAGCAAAAAUAAAAGCUUUCGCACAAAAUACUGAUUUAUAUGAAGAAAAACAAAGUGAUUUAAGAGAAGAAUGUUUAAAGCUGUGGAAGCUUCCGGAUAGAGUAAGAUCUGCACCGAAUCGAUCUGACCCCAAAUCGAAAUUCUACGAACUGACAAAAUACCGAACCAAAUAUCUGCCUUCCAAAAUUCAGAAUUACCAGAAAACUGGUUGGUUUUGAAUUUGGCAGUUGUAGUUACAGCUGUAUCUCGUCACAUACCACUUUGUUUUGUUUCUAUGGCCUAGGCAUCACACAACACUGGUUCCAGUAAGACUGCUGUCUCAUGGUAUGUUAAAAACAAUUCUGUUCUUUACUUUCCAUUGUUUAUUUUGAAAUUUAAGUAUAUAUUUAGCCCACAUCCAGAAAACUGGAAAAUCCAGACUGCUUCUGAUCCCAAGUUUGUCAGAUAUUUGGUACAGUACUGUAUUACCUGACAAAGAAAAUUAG